rnacentral:tRNA from 1 species
GGAGAGUUGUCCGAGUGGUCGAUGGAGGCGGUCUUGAAAACCGUUGUGCCGCAAGGCACCGGGGGUUCGAAUCCCUCACUCUCCG